rnacentral:rRNA from 1 species
GAUGAACGCUGGCGGCGUGCCUAAUACAUGCAAGUCGAGCGAACAGACGAGGAGCUUGCUCCUCUGACGUUAGCGGCGGACGGGUGAGUAACACGUGGAUAACCUACCUAUAAGACUGGGAUAACUUCGGGAAACCGGUGCUACUACCGGAUAAUAUAUUGAACCGCAUGGUUCAAUAGUGAAAGACGGUUUUGCUGUCACUUAUAGAUGGAUCCGCGCCGCAUUAGCUAGUUGGUCAGGUAACGGCUUAUCAAGGCAACGAUGCGUAGCCGACCUGAGAGGGUGGUCGGCCACACUGGAACUUGGACACGGACCAGACUCCUACGGGAGGCAGCAGUAGGGAAUCUGCCGCAAUGGGCGAAAGCCUGACGGAGCAGCGCCGCGUGAGUGAUGAAGGUCUUCGGAUCGUAAAACUCUGUUAUUAGGGAAGAACAAAUGUGUAAGUAACUAUGCACGUCUUGACGGUACCUAAUCAGAAAGCCACGGCUAACUACGUG